UACGUAGGGCGCAAGCGUAUCCGGAAUUAUUGGGCGUAAAGAGCUCGUAGGCGGUCUGUUGCGUCCGCUGUGAAAACUCGGGGCUUAACCCCGAGCCUGCAGUGGAUACGGGCAGACUAGAGGUAGGUAGGGGAGAAUGGAAUUCCCGGUGUAGCGGUGAAAUGCGCAGAUAUCGGGAGGAACACCGGUGGCGAAGGCGGUUCUCUGGGCCUUACCUGACGCUGAGGAGCGAAAGCGUGGGGAGCGAACAGG
rnacentral:rRNA from 1 species